rnacentral:rRNA from 1 species
CAGCCGCCGCGGUAAGACGAACCGUGCGAACGUUAUUCGGAAUCACUGGGCUUAAAGCGCGUGUAGGCGGGAGGGCACGUCCGUCGCUGAAAUCCCCCGGCUCAACCGGGGAACGGGCGCGGAUACGACUCUUCUGGAGGAACGUAGGGGGACCUGGAACUUCCGGUGGAGCGGUGAAAUGCGUUGAGAUCGGAAGGAACGCCCGUGGCGAAAGCGAGGUCCUGGACGUUUACUGACGCUGAGACGCGAAAGCCAGGGGAGCGAACGGGAUUAGAGACCCCCGUAGUCCCUGUCUCUUAUA